rnacentral:rRNA from 1 species
ACCACAACAGGUGGAGCCUGCGGUUAAUCGGACUCAACGCCGGGAAACUCACCAGAUAAGACAGCUGAAUGAUAGUCGGGCUGAAGACUCUACUUGACUAGCUGAGAGGAGGUGCAUGGCCGUCGUCAGUUCGUACUGUGAAGCAUCCUGUUAAGUCAGGCAACGAGCGAGACCCACGCCAACAGUUGCCAGCUCGUCCUCCGGGAUGGUGGGGACACUGUUGGGACCGCCUCUGCUAAAGAGGAGGAAGGAAUGGGCAACGGUAGGUCAGCAUGCCCCGAAUUAUCUGGGCUACACGCGGGCUACAAUGGGUGGGACAAUGGGUAUCGACACCGAAAGGUGAAGGCAAUCUCCUAAACCCAUCCGUAGUUCGGAUUGUGGGCUGCAACUCGCCCACAUGAAGCUGGAAUCUGUAGUAAUCGUGUCUCAAAAUGGCACGGUGAAUAUGUCCCUGCUCCUU